UACGAAGGGGGCUAGCGUUGUUCGGAAUCACUGGGCGUAAAGGGCGCGUAGGCGGCUUGAUAAGUCGGGGGUGAAAGCCUGUGGCUCAACCGUGGAAGUGCACCCGAAACUGCGCAGCUAGAGUCCUGGAGAGGAAGGCGGAAUACUUGGUGUAGAGGUGAAAUUCGUAGAUAUCAAGUGGAACACCGGUGGCGAAGGCGGCCUUCUGGACAGUGACUGACGCUGAGACGCGAAAGCGUGGGGAGCAAACAGG
rnacentral:rRNA from 1 species